ensembl:rRNA 5S_rRNA 5S ribosomal RNA
UCCAGCAGCCAUAUCACCCUGCAACUCACAACUGGCAACCCACUGAAGCUAAGCAGAUGUGAGCCUGGUCAGUACCUGGAUAGGAGACCUCCUGGGAAAAACUAAGGUUGCAGCUGGAA